rnacentral:lncRNA from 1 species
UUUUACUUUUGCAUUUUUAAUUUUUAGAAUAGGUUGAAUUUUUUUUUUCAGUGUGUAUGCUUGGCCUAAAUACUUUUCUGAAGAUGUUUGACUGACUAAUUUGCAUGAUGAGCUUAUUUGAUGAUGAUCUGAUGUGAUUGAUAAUUGGGGUGUGUUGCAUGUUGAUAUUCAGUGAAACAGGUGUAUAGUAAAUUAUGAUUGUGAUUAUGAUGCUAAGCAGGGUGUAUGUAUGAAUUUUGUGUGAGAAAGCAUGUUGUGUGAGGUAUUGAGCUCCAGAGUUUUCAUUGUUGUAUGUAUUAUUCACAGGAAAGCAUGGAUGAUAUUGCCUUAAUCUCAAUGAUUGAUUGAAUUGCAUGUGAAUGUCAUAUGAUCAAGGCCAUUUUUGAAAACCCUUCUCUAGCCAAAUUUUCACUUGCAGAGCUUAAAAUAUUAUACCCUUUUUGAACCUUAGCCUUAAAUAGGAGGUGAACCCUUGUCUUGAAAUUCUUUACCUUGAGUUAGGAUAAGCUUAACUGUAUGUGAUGAAAAGGUUCAAGUUUGGGGUUACAUGGGGGAAAUUGAAAUGUUGUUAAGAAGCAUUGAGCUCAAAUGUUGAAAAAGAAAAAUACAUGAGAAAAAGAAAAAAUAAGAAAAAACAUGAAGAUGAGCUCAAUGAAAAGAAAAAGGGAAAAAGUUGGGAAUGAGAGAGAUUGGGAGGAAGAGAGUUGUGCUUAAAUGUUGAAUAUUAUGAUAGCUCUCUUAACUCAAGGAUUUUGUUUUCCAGAAAAAACAAUUUUUCUUGUUAACCUAACCUCAUUACAAGCCUUGGAAAAGUCCUUUUGAUGACAUUUGCAUGUAAAGAUGUUGAUUGUUUGAGAUGAAUGGCAAUGUUAUUUCUUAUGACUUGUGAAUGAUAGAGAGUUGGAGUGUCACCCUAAACAAUUGAGUGAUUGAGUGAAACACUUGCUUGC